CCUACGGGCGGCAGCAGUGAGGAAUAUUGGUCAAUGGCCGGAAGGCUGAACCAGCCAUGCCGCGUGAAGGUCAGUGCCCUAUGGGCGUUAAACUUCUUGUGUGCGGGAGCAAGAAUGGUCACGUGGGGCCAGACGAGAGUACCGUACGAAUAAGCAGCGGCUAACUCCGGGCCAGCAGCCGCGGUAAUACGGGGGAUGCAAGCGUUAUCCGGAUUUAUUGGGUUUAAAGGGGGCGGAGGCUGUGAGGUAAGUCAGCGGUGAAAUGCCCCCGCUCAACGGGGUGAAGUGCCAUUGCUACUGCCUUGCUGGAUUGCGGAUGCCGUGGGAGGAAUGUGUGGUGUAGCGGU
rnacentral:rRNA from 1 species